AAGCAGCCAUCCUUUAAAGAAAGCGUAACAGCUCACUGGUCUAAAUAUUAAGCCGUCCUGCGCCGAAGAUGUAACGGGGCUAAAGUCAUACACCGAAGCUGAGGACUCCAGUUUACUGGAGUGGUAGCGGAGCGUUCCGUAAGCCUGCGAAGGUGCACCGUGAGGUGUGCUGGAGGUAUCGGAAGUGAGAAUGCUGGCAUGAGUAGCGAUAAAGAGUGUGAGAAACACUCUCGCCGAAAGUCCAAGGGUUCCUGCGCAAGGCUAAUCCGCGCAGGGUGAGCCGGCCCCUAAGCCGAGGCCGAAAGGCGUAGGCGAUGGGAACCAGGUUAAUAUUCCUGGGCCUGCUGGAUGUGACGAAGGCCGAAAGUUGUCUUUCCUUAUUGGAUUGGAGAGGCAGCCUGGGACUUCCAGGAAAUAGCACCAGCGAUAGACCGUACCCUAAACCGACACAGGUGGACAGGUAGAGUAUACCAAGGCGCUUGAGAGAACGGUGUUGAAGGAACUAGGCAAAAUACCCCCGUAACUUCGGGAGAAGGGGGACCUCUAUUUGGGCAACCAGAUUGGGGUGGCACAGACCAGGGGGUGGCGACUGUUUACUAAAAACAUAGGUCUCUGCGAAGUCGCAAGACGACGUAUAGGGACUGACGCCUGCCCGGUGCCGGAAGGUUAAGGAGAGGGGUGCAAGCUCUGAACCGAAGCCCCGGUAAACGGCGGCCGUAACUAUAACGGUCCUAAGGUAGCGAAAUUCCUUGUCGGGUAAGUUCCGACCUGCACGAAUGGCGUAACGACUGCCCCGCUGUCUCCAACACCGACUCAGCGAAAUUGAACUCUGAGUUAAGAUGCUCAGUACCCGCGGUCAGACGGAAAGACCCCGUGCACCUUUACUACAGCUUUGCAGUGGUAUUAGUGAAUAAAUGUGUAGGAUAGGCGGGAGGCUUUGAAGCAGCGGCGCCAGUCGUUGUGGAGCCAUCCUUGAAAUACCGCCCUUUUGUUUUCUGAUAUCUAACCGUGGCCCGUUAUCCGGGUCCGGGACCCUGCAUGGUGGGUAGUUUGACUGGGGCGGU
rnacentral:rRNA from 1 species